rnacentral:ncRNA from 2 species
CAGCUUCACCGGGGGUGUCUGGCGCAAGCCGGGCUGAGAGAGUCCCCACACCUGAUCUGGAUCAUGCCAGCGUAGGGAGCGUGAUGGGUUGGACAU